ACUAAACUGGAUGACUCGACAAGGCCAACGCUGCAGCUCGCCUGACGAAGUUUUCUUCCAGUAAACAUAUGCUUCCUCUUCUUUGUUCCACUUGUGAAUGGUCUCGGGGUGUAGUUUUGACAUAUUUUUGUGUUUUAUUUGUGAAAGUUCACAUAUAUGAACGGUGUUGUCUGUGAAAAAAUCUACCAAAACGUAUUUUAUGUCCAUCCUGAGUGAACGAAGACGCUGACUGACAGUUGGCUCAUCAAGUAUCAGUUGCUCUCGAGACUCGUUGUCAGGGCAACGAACGCGCGAAGAAGAUCUAGUCACGCGCGUGCUAAUUAUCUAUGAGGGUGAAAUGUCCAACAGGCGAAAAAAAUACAAAUCUUUUUUAGAAGAUGACUAUAUUCACAAGAAAAAAAAUCCCAGAACAAACAAGUACAAAAUAUUUCUGGAAGAUGAUGAAGAAGAACCCCACAGAAGCACAAGUGUACGGAGAAAUAGCAGGGAAGGUGAUGUUGCAAGCCUGUCACCUCAGGUAAAAUAAAUCAAGUCAAAGUUCAAUUAAAUAAAUACAUCUUAGCCAAUAUUACCUCUAAUUCAGUUCCCUUAAUAUUAUUUAACAGUAUUUUAAAUUAUUAUUCAUUAUAAUAAUACACAUUUUGCAAUACAUGGAGACAUUACACAACUGGCUUAAAGGUAAUUUAGUUUUUUACUUUAGACACACACAGAGAACCGAGUUGAUGCUGAGUUUGAGGAAGACAUACAACUGCUCUGCAGAGAAGAGGCAGCUAGGCAACUCACUGAGCCAGAUGACAUAUCAGGUGGUGAUAUAGAAGACGAAGAGCAAAACACACAAUGGUGGAGCAAUGAAGAGCAAAGCAGUUCCAAUCUUGAGGAUGGAAAUAUCAGAACUUGUGUCAUUGAUGGAGACCAGCCUUUGUAUCCUGGAGCCAAACUUUCAAAAGGGGAAAGUCUGACUGCACUUCUGGGCUACAUGCUACGCCACCAUGUGACCAAGGCAGGAAGUCAAGAUUUACUGCAUCUGCUUCAGAUGCUUCUCCCUGAAAAUAGUUUACCCUCCACCAACUACCUGUUCAAGCGUGCUUUUGACACAGCCAGCUGGCAGUUACAUCACUAUUGUCUGAAUCCUGACUGUGGAGCUUACAUUGGCAUAUUAGAUGUCGAGAGUGUACUAUGUCCAAUGUGUGAUACAGAAUGCAAAGUAUCAGAAUAUCUGAGUAAAGGCUAUUAUUUUAUGUACACCCCCUUGAGAGAUGAAAUUAAAAAUCUUUUUGAAAAUCACAACCUUAAUGAAAAACUAUCACAGACAAACAACUCUGAUUGCAUCCAAGAUAUCAGUGAUGGUACACUGUAUAAGAGAAUUCCAAUGCUGACGGACCAGGGAAAUAUAUCUUUGACAUGGAAUACAGAUGGUGUCCCAGUGUUUAACUCUUCAAGCUAUUCAAUGUGGCCAAUUUAGUGUACCAUAAACGAAGUCCCUCUUUCCGAACGAAAAAACUUUGUGUUGGUGCCUGGACUCUGGUUUGGGCAAACCAAGCCAAAAAUGGAAAGCUUUCUAAAACCAUUCAUUGAAGAGUGCAGAUCUUUAGAAUCUGAGGGUGUUGUGUGGCACAACACUGUGACAAAAACUUAUGAAUGUUCAAAAGUGGCUGCAAUUCUAUGCAGUGUUGACUCUGUUGCAAGGGCUCCAGUGCAGAAUAUCAGCCAGUUUAA